AAGGUUUCACUUGCCAUAUAUGGCGACUUAACAUUGGUUUCUCGGGUUAGAAACAUCAAUGGCAAGCCCUUUAGCUUCUCAUUCGCGUUAUGCAGUCUCUUUACGCAAUAGCUUGCUCAGAGUAGAGACUUCUGUCAUGAUAAUAUUCUUUUGCCAAGCCUAGAGUCUCAGAAACACAAUUUCCCUAGAGUGAUGGAUUUUUUCAACCCAAGGUGAUCCAGUGGGCAAAAGAGGGAGAAUAACCACACGCUCUUUGUUUAAAACUUGGGUUGACCACAUUGUGAAGAGUCUCCACAUUUUUAAAACCGAGAAGUCUCAACUUUGAUUGAUAAUUUUCCAUACUUAAAUGAUAGAAAAGAAUGUGCCACUGAGACAUAAGAUAUUUCUGCAGAUUUUUUUUUGUUUUUUUGAACAUCAGUCUGCAGAUUUUCUUGAUUGCAUAAAGAUUAUUUUCUGGUA